CCUACGGGAGGCAGCAGUGGGGAAUAUUGCACAAUGGGGGAAACCCUGAUGCAGCGACGCCGCGUGGGGGAAUGAAGGUCUUCGGAUUGUAAACCCCUGUCAUGUGGGAGCAAAUUAAAAAGAUAGUACCACAAGAGGAAGAGACGGCUAACUCUGUGCCAGCAGCCGCGGUAAUACAGAGGUCUCAAGCGUUGUUCGGAAUCACUGGGCGUAAAGCGUGCGUAGGCUGUUUCGUAAGUCGGGUGUGAAAGGCGCGGGCUAAACCCGCGGAGGGCAGAUGAUACCGCGGGGCUAGAGUAAUGGAGGGGGAACCGGAAUGCUCGGUGUAGCAGUGAAAUGCGUAGAUAUCGUGAGGAACACUCGUGGCGAAGGCAGGUUCCUGGACAUUAACUGACGCUGAGGCACGAAGGCCAGGGGAGCGAAAGGGAUUAGAUACCCUUGUAGUC
rnacentral:rRNA from 1 species